UGGGGUCGUAGAGUCGCAGGAGCAGUUGUAAAUUUCUGUAUUUUCGGUCGUAAUCGUAGGUUGUUUUCCUUUUAAAAGACAAAUCGACACAAGUUAAUACACUCGAAUACAGUCUGACACUCCUUUUGAAUAGAGUCAAAAAGUGUCGAUUGAGUUUGUAAAUGGAAAGCGAAGUGUGUCGCUUUGUAUUAAAAGUGUCGACUGUGUUAUCUAAAAAAACAGCCAUAGUCGCUCGGAGUUCUUCUUAGGCAAUAUUGGCACCCGCUUCUGAAUCUUGCACCAGAAGCGUUACGGCCAUCCCCCAAGUAAAAAUAUUAAAAGCAAAGUCAAGAACUUUCGAGUUGUGUUUAAAUAUAAAUCGGUAUUAGAAAAUAAAGUCAGUAUCAGAGAAUCAGUUAGAAGAUCAAAGCACGAAGGAUAACAACAGCUGUUCGGGCUGGCCGAUUGUGAUGCAAUCGACGGUUAAAAGAAUAUUUCGAGACUAUCGUCACUGCGACUGACCAAUCACAAGAGAGCAUGAUAUAUUGCGUAUUAACAGAAACUUCAUGGUGGAUUUACGACCGCUCCUGCGACUCUACGACCCCACUGUAGACGCCGCUGUACUUUUCAGACUCUGCUUUCUGGAGUUCGAAGUUUUGACUGUUAUGAGAUAGUAGUCUGAUUUUCCAAUUAUUGGCCGUCAUGUCAUUGCAGCAACGUGCUUGUGGUCUUGUAAUUUUUCGUCGAUUUCGAGGUACUAUUCAGUACCUGCUAAUGCAGACAUCAUACGGAGAACAUCACUGGACUCCGCCUAAAGG
rnacentral:lncRNA from 13 species